GUGCUUCGACAGCACAUAUACUAAAGUUGGAAUGAUACAGAGAAGAUUUUAGCAUGGCCCCUGCACAAGUAUGACAUGCAAAUUUGUGACGCGUUCUAUAUUUUU
rnacentral:snRNA from 1 species